rnacentral:rRNA from 1 species
UACGUAGGUGGCGAGCGUUGUCCGGAUUUACUGGGCGUAAAGAGCGCGCAGGCGGUCGUACAAGUCGCGUGUGAAAGCCCCCGGCUCAACUGGGGAGGGUCACGCGAUACUGUUCGACUCGAAGGCAGGAGAGGGAAGCGGAAUUCCCGGUGUAGUAGUGAAAUGCGUAGAUAUCGGGAGGAACACCAGUGGCGAAGGCGGCUUCCUGGCCUGUUCUUGACGCUGAGGCGCGAAAGCUAGGGUAGCAAACGGG